GCAUUUCAGUUUUUGUUAUUUGCGUCGCAUUUUUAUUAUAAAGUGACGCAAAUAACUCUGUUGCAUUUUAGGUUAUUCAUUCUGCGCUUUUUUGACCUUAGCUUUUCACGCCUACCUUUCACUAAUUCACUAAACAAAAAGAAAAAACACCCAUAAUCGCAAAUUCGCAAUCAAGUUCAACACCCACAAUCGCAAUCAAAUUCGCCCAAAAAACACCCAGCAAAUUCGCCCAAAAAACACCCACAAAUUCGCCCAAAAAACUGCAAUUCCUCAGCAAAUUCAACAUCCAAAAUCGCAAUCAAGUUCAACACCCAUAAUCGGCACCAAAUCCGAGCAAUUUCGAGCAAAAAUUUAGACCAAAAACCCUAAUUAAUUCGAACCCUUAAACCCCAGAAAAAUUGAUUAUUUUCGACCAAAAAUCCCCCAUUUCGAGCAAAAAAUGUACUCAAUUCCAUACGAAUUCGAACCCUAGAAACCCCAAAAAAUUCAAUUAAAAAUCCUGCUGAAAAAAUUCGAGCAAUAACUGAAAUUUUCGAGUGGAAAAAUCGCUUAAUUUCGCCCCCAAAAACCCGAGGAAGUUCAAGCAAAUUACAGCAAUGUUGAAUUUUUGAAUUUUAGAGUGGAAAAAUCGCUUAAUUUUCGCCCCCAAAAAUCGAUUUCGGCUCGACAUUGUUGAAUUUUUGAAGUCAAUUUCACCUAUGGCUUUUCUUGAUGUUGCAACGGUUCCCUGUAGAAUCAAAAGGACGACGUAAAAAGCUUCAGGAGGUUGGCUAUGUAACCACAAUAUGUUUUACAUGUUUCCUCGUAAGAUGUGUUAUGAUUCUUAAUUAUGCGGAAGUGAAUUCCACAAGUUGCUCGAGGUUCUGGUUGUGGACAAACGAUUAAGGUGGUAGUACGCAUACGAGAUUGUCUUCACUUGUGGAAUCAUUGGGUUCUUUUGGUCUUAUGCAUGGCUAAGCGUGAAGUCAUCAUCUUUGAUUCUUUGAGGCAGAAGCGAAAUUUAGCAAUUAAGUUUGCAAUGACAAAUGCUUUUCGAAGUUUUAAGGCAUUAAGUGGACAAUCUAGGGGAAGUAAAUUGACAUGGCAUUUGGGACAGUGUCCUCAACAAUUGGGUGGACGUGAGUGUGGCUACUACGUCAUGCGUUAUAUGUACGAAAUACUUGAACAUCACCGUAGCAGUGAAGAUCUUAUUCAGGAUUUUUCAAGAACUACACCGUACACCGAGGAGGAGAUAAAUGAGAUCCGAGAAAUUUGGGCAGAGUAUUUUAUAUGUAAUGUUGAACUUUAGAUUUACCACUUAGCGCAUGUUUGACUCUUGUUUUGGAUUAUAGGCUUGAAAUGAAGUAAUUUGGUUAAUUGGUGUUGGGAUGAUGAGUAUAAUGUCUAUGAUAUUGAGAUGUAAAUUAUUGGACAGGUUGUUAAUAUAAUGCCGUCAUUCCCAAUUUUAUGGGUAGGCCAAAUUACAAAGGAGACUCUGCCGAAAUUUACAUUUGCAUUAUUCAAUAAUAUUGCAUUUUAAUUUCAA